GUUUUGUAGCCAUCUUCUACAGGUGUCCUGUUGCUUGAAAAUAGCCGUGUCGGUGCUGAAUGCGUCGUUGCUAUCUAUGCCAAGUUUCUCUCUCAAAGCAGUUAUUGGAUUGUGUUCUGCCUUUGCAAAACAACUUGCAGAAAUGAGAGGUGUGGUCACUUCGGCUGAAACAUUUUGAAUGCUUGAAAAAAUACUUCAAAAUUCAAUCUAUUCAUAACCAAUGGUGGCUUUAACUUUCCCUUUAAAUGUCAAGACAGACUGAGCAUUACUGAUGGAUAAACUUGAUGUUUGUCUGUGCCACGCCAUCCUGUGUGCUCAGAAUUGCUGACUGAAAGAAGUCAACUCCGCCACAAACCCUGCUUCCACAUCAUUAGCUAGCUAAUGAAGGAAAAAAACCUUUGCAUGGGCUUCCUGCUUUUAAUAAUGCCGUUCUUGCCUUUCCCUUCCUCCCAGUUUGUGACCGGUCAUACAACAGAGGAAUCGUAACUCAAUAUGUGCUGCAGAACUGCUAUGCCACAUCAACAGUCAGCUCGGCUACGUGAGGAGAAAGCCAACUACUGUUUUGUUAGGCGGCUCAGACGUCUGGAGGCUUUCGUACAAGACUGGGAACUCAGCGCAUGGGGAAUGAAUGAAGUUCACAAAAGAAGAGGUGACUUUCCCUCCUAUCCUGGAUCUCUCCUGCAAUUAGCAAUGCCCAGUAUGCACUUGCUUUCGAACUAAUUAAAUCAUCCGUACUCUAAUGAUUCUUCUCCUCCUGCCAAGUCUGAGACGAGACCCCAGAGUGGGGCUGUCUUGCUGCAGUGAGGUGAGAUGAAUUACAGGUUCAGCUGCAAGGCAAAGCAGCCUGGCCUCCUGGGUGCUAGCCCAGUGCUCCAAGGAUAUGGGUCCACUUUUUGUACUUCAGUGGUGUUUUCUGCGUGGCGGUGGAAAACACCAAGUCUCACAAAAUCAGCUCUCCAAAUGCUCUUGACAGUGGAGGCUGUGCAGGCUAUCCCGAUGGCCAGAAACACCUCCGGAAAAGGAAGAAAGUGUUGCAAAGCAUUGCAGGGUGCUGUGUGUCUGCUAAAGUACAGCAGUGCUCUGUUGGCAACUCUGUGUUCCUACCACCAGGUCUCCACAGCUGGAGCUGCUUGAGGCACCCUGGCUCACUCCAGCAUGCUCUCCUUCAAAUGCUAAGGAAAAAAAACCUACACCUUCCCCAAGGAAUUCGCAGUAAGACCAAACACUUGUAAAAAUAUAUUUUGUCAGUAGAAAAGCUUACCUCUGCACAAAGCAUCUUGUUGACUCGCAUUUGUCUUGUGUGUAUUAGUAAACCUGAGUUGCCAUUGACUGCACGUAACUCAGGGGAGCAGGGAACCCAAGGAUCACUCUCUCUUCACAAAGGGACAUGGCUAAAACAGGAUUAUUUUCCUGUUAUGUUAACAACAGGUUAAAAGAAGCAUGUGGAGGGGAUCUGAUGGGUUUUAGUUUUUCACUGGAAGGAGAGAGAGGGUUCAGGUUUUUCUUAUGUCCUUUCCAUUUUUCCCAGGACCUUCCUUGAAGUUUGAAAUGGCUCUCAUUUGCUGUGGCAGUGAGAAGAAGAAGGGGAAGCAAACAGCUGUCUACGAGAGGCAGGUCAGGGGCCUCUAAUCUUCCAUUUUAUACAUACAAGAUUAAAGAUCUGCUUUGAGUUUUGAUUAAGAAUGCAAAGUUAAAAGAUUAAAUACCAGCAAGCCAAAUUAAAGAGGUUUAAGUCAAUCUCGGAACUCAUCAAAGUACCAAAUUUUUAAGCUGUCAUUACAACACAGGAUUAGUGCAAAGCUUCCCUGAACCCUGAUUUGAUGUCCUUCAGUCAACAAUGUUAUUCUCCCCUCAUUUUGUGCUCUUGGCAUAAAACCAGCUAUUGUCUUGUAUUUAAGCUCAUCUCACCUAUGUCCUUCUUUGUCUUUUUUCUGCUUUUUUUUUUUUCCCUGCCCGUGGCCCUGUUAAUCAAGGAACCUGUUUUUUUGUGUGACCUACAGCUUAGCAAUAUACUGUUCUGUAUUAUGCAUUGUCACGAAAUGCGUUAACGCUUAGUAAAUUCGCCUGUUUCAGAAAAAAAAUGCCUUAGUCACCAUGAUUAUUAUAAACUAUUUCUGUGAAUCCCAAGCAGUAAAUAGUUCCUGCAGCCUGCAUGCAUUUCAGCAGAUUGAUUCCAAAAGUUAAAGAAGAGAAAAAAUGUAUUGCAUUCCUAGAUUGAAAUGAGGCUAAUGUGAUCAUCCUAAGGUACCUGAAAAACAGUGUUAAAAGUCUGCAAUUGAUGCUCCAAUGUUUGGGAAAUGGUGAAUCACUCCAGCUGAAAUUAGUGAAGACUUGGGACGUGGAGGGCAGAAGACUGAAGAAUGAUUAAAUCCAGGAAUCUGCUAAUGCAAAUAACCUACUUCAGUAAUAAAUUUUACAAACUGUCAUAAGUGUUAUUUGAAACUCAAGCUGUAAUGCAUUAAAGCAAAUGUUCCCAGGGUUUUCAGCAUAAUAAUUUGGGUCCUUUCCAUUUUUUAUUUAUAGAAGUUGAGACGUCUCAGUUAUAUUAACAUUAUGCUUUCCUGGGUCAUAACCACAAAUGAUAACUUCCGAAUAUUCCCAAAUGCUGAAUUAACGAAAGCCUUAAUUUGAAGUUAUUCCCAUUGGUAAAGUUGAGUGCUACAUGAUGUAUUUCCAAGUUUUCAUCUGAAGACUUGCUUUUUCUUUUUGUAAUACUUAAGAUCAGCAAUUCAACAUUUUUUUUUAACAAAGACUCAAACUUUAACAUACCUGUCCAGAAUCAUGCCUUAUCCAAAACAUCAGACUUGUAUGCUACAUAAUAAAGAAUAUAAAUUAAAAUUUAUAAAAUUAAAAAUUAUAAAAUUAAAAUUUGUAUUCUUUAUUAAACAACACUAUCUGCAUCUCUAUAUGAAUGAGGGUGCUUUCCUGUUCAUUCUGACUCUUGUGGUCAUUUCUGAGACUUCCCAUUAUGUAAAGGGCCUUAUAAAUUACUGCCAUGCUGUAACUACUACCAUGCUGUCUGUGCCUUUAAUCUUUCAGAACGUUCUUCAAGAUUAUGGAAUGCAAGAGAUAAACUUGCUACCUUUGAAAAAAAUUAUGUAUUUUUUCCUGUGGUAGUUUUCCACCAGCUUUUUGGAAACUACCUCCUCUCACAUUUAUUUUGGUUAUCUUACAUGCAGCUGAAAAUGCUUUUAGUCAGCAAACAAAAUUCAGAUUACCCAACUUUUCCAAAAGAACUUAAUACGUGCCUUUUGAUUAAAGGCAGAAGAAACUGAAUGUAGAAGAAAAAGGAAGAUCGUGAAGGAUAAAACACAGUUGUUGCUUAUGAAGCUCUUGGCAUCCUACUCCUAGCAGACUUGCAGUGAUUUUAUAUAUGAAUGUCUCUUGAUCGUGUUGUCAUUUAUUGGUAUUCACGUUGCAGACAGAAAUGCAAAUGGGUGAUUUUGAACCCACAGUGAUCAUGACAGGUCAGGUAUUCACAACAAACACCGCCUCUAGAAAAUGAUAUAGGCAAAUCUCCAGGGUAAGUAUGUACAGAUUAGGUAGAGUUCGGGUAAAUUUGUUUGUUUGUUGGUAAAGCGGAGUUGCAGCUGACUUCUAUCACUGUGUGCAAAUUUGUUCCUGCUGGUUUGGUGUACUACUUCUUUAUCAGUGUUGAAGAGUGUAGAAACAGCCAUGAUUUCUGUACACAGGUCCACCUGGCUCUGUAUGCACAUCCUGAGGGUGGCCAAACCACUUUGGACAAAUACAGUGUCAUCCUUCUACUGCCUGACGCUUCUUCCUGGCGAUGCACACAUUAUGGACUUCCUGAGUCCAAGAUAGCAUUACAUUUUUCUCUUUAAUGAUAUAGUGGCCUCUUUUUCUUUUUUUCUUUUCUUUUAAGUAAGCAAAGGAAAAAAAAUAAAAGAACCCCAAAUACCUCAUUCUGAUUAUUCUGUUUCUAUGUCUUUUACAUGACUAAUGCUUGGGAUAUUCUUGAGCUUUGGUAUCAUGAAAAAUGGAGAACAAUAGAUUUCCUAUUCAGGUUUUCUGUAUUGCCCAGAAUUUUGUAGAGCACUGACCUGAUGUCCCUUUUUGCCAUGCUAGGUAAUUCUCUAUAGACUUGUUUUGUUGUUGUUGUUGUUGUUGUUUUCUCUUCACUUUUGUUUUUCUGCUAUAUCCAUUUUUAGAUAUGGUGAUCAGAACUGUGCAUGCCUUGUUUAAGAUGCGUAUCUAUUUACUGGGAAGAAAAUGCUUUCUGUUUUAUUCUCUGUUCUUAAUCUUUGCUAAUCAUCUGCUCAUUGUUUUGACCACUAAUGAGUUAUUUUCAAAAACCUAUCCAUUAUAGUUCUGGGUUUUGUUUUUUUGUUUGUUUGUUUCUUAUUCAUAUACAGCUAGUUUAGAACUCAUUAGCGCGUACGGUUAAUUAAGGUUGUUUUUUCCCUCUGUGGAUCACUGUGCUUUAGCAACAUUGAAUUUAAUCUGCCCAUUUUACCAUCCAGCUGCUCAGUCUCCUCCUGCAACUGUUGUCAGUCCAUUUUAUUCUUUUACUGUGCUGAAUUAUUGCCAUCAGAGAUCUUUGUCAUAUAGUUCACCCUUUUCACAUAAUUUAUGAGUGUGUUGAACACAAAGAUAAUUAAUAGAUGCAAGCGGUAGCUUCCUCUACAGGUUGAAGACUGAUUGUUUUUAUGCCUUUUAUUUUGUAUCUCAGCAUACUCUUAAUCCAUAACAGGACCCAUUUCUUAGAAAGAGCUUAGUUCUGUUAGUGUUAUGCAAGCCCAUUUUGGAAACCCCAACACGGUUCACUCCUGGCCACAUGCUUGGCGAUCCCUUCAAGGAACACCAAUAGGUUUGUGACUUCCUUCUUUUGGUUAUACUGAUCCUUCUCAUCAGAACGCUGAUGUGUCCUUUCUUGCUUCCCCUACUAUAAUCUUAAUCAACCUGAUCCCUACAGGCAGCAGAAUUACUAAACACCUGUUCCAUAGAUCUUCCCAUAGCUCUUUUCAGAAGAUGGUAUCACUUUCCUUUACUCUGAUUGCUCAUGUUGUAGGAAACACCACACCUAUCUAUUUCAAGAAGUGGUAUUGGAAAUCCUUAAGACCUGAAUGAAUACCAUCUGGGCUUCAUGAGUUAUUACUAUUUGUUUUAUCUAUUUGCCCUAUAUUUCUUAUACUGACAUUUCUAUUUCUCAUUUUUUUUUUCCAGCUGGCUGUAUGGCUGGGUGCCAAAACAGGCAAUUCCAUAUUCUUCUGCACUGUAAAAACAGAUGUAAAGCAUUGAUUUAGCAUUUCUGUACUGGCAUUAACUUUCUUGUUUAUUUCUCUUGCAUCUAUUUUGUUCUUAGUUUCUACAGGCUGAGAGAGUUUAAAAAAGUUGUCUGAAGCAGGGUUUUAAUAUGGCUUUAUCUUUAACCAUCUAGAAUUAAUGCUCUUUUCUAUUUUCUUUAUUUGGACAUGGCUUCUGCUUCUGGAUGGAUGCUUUUUUGCUAUUAAUAGCUUUCUUUAUUCUGCUGCUUGACCACACAGCAUUUUCAGCAAUCACGUGAGGGUCAUUUUUUAGGACAUAGUGAGCUCUAAGCCACUAGUCUAUCUUAACCAUGCUGUCAAAUCACCUGCAAGUACUUUGAUCCUAUAGGUGCUGAUUUUAGUGUUGUAUAUGUCUGUUUCCAAUACAUUAUUUUCUUUAUCGUGCCUACGUGGUUUCAGCAUAAACAGAAAAAAAAUCACAUAGCUGUUAUAACAAGCAGAUGAGCAAGUGUCAGCAAAUCAGUCUGGAUGAGGUGAAAAUCACUGAAUUUUGGGUGGCUGCUUUGCUCCCCUGGGGAAAGAGGUGGCUACUCUUGCACCUGGAGGACUGGGCAUUCUUUGAGGCCUCCCAUCGCUGACAGACCUCCAUGCUGCCCUGGUCACGUGAAGCAGGUGUUUCCACAUCCUUGCUGAGAGAUCAGCGUACUGUCAGGAGUUGUUUG
ensembl:lncRNA